rnacentral:lncRNA from 1 species
GUGAGCUAAUAAAUGCCUGCUAUUUUAAGGUGCUCAGUUUGGGAGUAAUUUGUUAUAGAGCAUUAGGUAACAAGGACACAGACAAACUAUUAAAAUUCAAUACUUUCUAUCCUUUGACCUUGACAUAGUAUACCUAAAGACUCCCUGUGGAAUUCCCCAUCAUGGCGCAGGGGAAAUGAAUCCUACUAGGAACCAUGAGGUUGCAGGUUUGGUCCCUGGCCUCAAUCAGUGGGUUAAUGAUCCGGCAUUGCCCUGAGCUGUGGUGUAGUUUGCAGAUGUGGCCCGAAUCCAGCAUUGCUGUGGCUCUGGCAUAGGCUGGCCGCUGUAGCUCUGAUUUGACCCCUAGCCUGGGAACCUCCAACUGCUGCGGAUGCAGCCCUAAAAAGCAAAAAAACAAAACAAACAAACAAAAAAACCCAAAAAAACCCUUCCCUGGAAGGUGAAUUUUUGGACUCUUUGGAGUUUUGCACCAGAAUAGGGUGGGAGGGGAGAACUGGACUUUGGUGUGAGGCCACCCUCCUUCUGUUCCCACCCAGGCUCCACUCCCUCCACCCCAGGUCUUGUUUGUACUCAAGCGUUAAAACUCCAUACAACUCCCCCUGCAAGUAGUCGCCCUGGGACCCCUCUGUAGAAGGGGCCUGGCCUGCCCUCUAGAUGUUGGAUCUGGCCGGAAGCCUGCACAGGCCCAUCAUUUGGCUGAGGAAAUCCAGGGGUCAAAUUCCCCCAGGCAUGCUUUACAAGGGGAGGAGACACGUCCUCUUGACCCCAGAGACUCCUGACGCCAGGGAGCUGCAGCUGGAGGGCCAAGAGAGGAUUUUACAAGGCACAGGAAUCAAGGCAGGGGCCUCCCCUUGCCUGGAGUCCAGGGUGGUUUUGGAAGAGCCCCUUGUCCCACCUUCUCCAAUGGGUCAUGUGCCCCAGGGACAUAAAGCCAUCCCGGAGAGACAGGAAGAGGUAGAGGGCAUGAAAAAAUACCAGUCAGGGGUGAGGGCUGGUGUCACACAUCUGCUCCCUCCUCCCUGAUUCAAUACUCAUUGGAGGGGUCCACUCUGUGCCAACUCUUGCCAGACCAAGGGUUUGAAGGACAUGGCCCCUGUUUUCCUAGUGAAUCAGGGAAGACAUAGGUCGAAGUGGACCCAGCUCUUCUUCCCAAGGCUGCAGACAUGUCCUCAAAAAGCCAUGCUCAGCAGAGGUUUUGGUUCUCCAGACCUCAUUCAAUUAGGAUUCACUGAGUACCCAUUCUGUGCCAGGAGCUGGGUAUUAAGCAGGAAAGGAUUUAUUCGCAUAGGGGUUAUUAGAAAGCUCACAGAUUCGUGGCAGAACAGGCUGGCAGGAGCUGUGGCUGUGGCCGCCCACCGCUUUCUGCACAGAGCUUCUUUUUAAAUGAAAGGUGCUUCCUGCCUUUGAUGGGGAAAGUCUUAGUCACAUGCCUGCACCUGAGGGGCGAAGAAGGCUGGCAAAGGCGGCUGUUUGCAUUCUCCCUUGGGCAGGAGGAAUUCACAAUAAGGGAAGCCACCUGAAAAGGGAGAGGGUGCCCACAGGUUUGGGCAACCAUGAUUGACAGCUGCCUGCGGGGCAAGAAAUAGACUGAAUAGACAGAAGAACAAGUUUAGUGGGAGUAAACCCAGCAGCCUUAACUCAGCAGUGCACGAAAGUGACGCAUUUACAUUUUCUCCUAAUAGCAUGUCACUUUUGUUUUUGGAGACCCCUGGUUGGAAGAAGAAGGAUGGAUCUGAUCUUGCCAAAUAAAGGAUUUCAAUCCUUUCCAAUUCUUUCCAAGUCGUGUUCUAUUUAAACAUUGGGUAAAUAUUUAAACAACCCCAUGAGGGCUCCUAUAGCAGUUUCUGCAGUUUAUAACCUCCAGCUCAGGCUUUCUGGCCCUUCUGGGCCUUCUGUCCCUUCUCACUGCUUUAGUCACCCUCCCCCUGUCUAGCUUCUGCCUGCGUAUUAUUCCAGAAUAAAAAUAAGACUGCAAAAUCAAAACUAAUCAAUGUUUAUAUUUAAACAUAUUCUGCAAGCAGGAAUAUUAUGCCAGCUGGUGAACUGCAAUUGAAUUCAAUACUAAUAAAGUCAUUUAAGGUAGGGUCCGAAAACAUCUUCUGAUAAAGUGCAGAAUAAGUCCCCCCAGGUUAGCAUUUUUUCAUCAUUCAUCAAACUACAGGAUUAUCUUAGACCUAGACACCUUGACGACCUUUAUUUGGUGAUAUGUGAAAUAGUUAUUUAUUUUAAAAUCGUGGGAGUUUUAAAGUAAAUAUUUACUGGGUACCAAAUAAGUGCCGGGCACUGUGGGGACAUUAUCUCAUUCUAUCAUGACCUGAUCCUUACACUAAUGGCCACUCCCAUUUUACAGUUGGGGCAACUGAGGUGUAAACGAAUAAAUAACACGCCCUAAAGUUCCAUUAGAACUUGAUCAGCAGCGCAAUUCAGGUCUUAGGGUUUUGACUGAGAGAGGAGUGGGGUCCCUCGUGGUAAAAGCCUUGAGACCCACAGCUUGCAUAUUUGCUUUCUCCUCUUACCUUGGGUCAAAAUAGAAUUUGACUUUGUCAACAAUGAAACAAUGUGGGCCUGACCACAGUUUCAGGGAGGUGAGAACAAGAGCCUUCACUCCCGCCCCAUGGCUCUAAGAUGAUCUUGGUGUGGUUCAAUUUCUUGUGCUUGAAAAAGGCGGUAAUGCUAUUUGAUAACCGCACUUGCUAUCCAUGGCAGAUCAAAAUGGAUACUUCUGGAUGAUCAAAAAUUGAAAUGAGGAUCUUUUUAAAAAUAGUUGAUGAUGUGUGGACAUGAGGAUAUGAAAUCCCUGUUGAGAUCUCUUCUUUGCCCCUAAGGGGUUACCAUGGAUACCAGCAGUGAAUGGAUGACCCACAAGACAGCUCGAAAUCAGAACAUUCCUGGUAUUUCUUAGUGCCAGGUCAUCACAGCCUGGGGCAAAGAUUCCACGAAGCCAAAUAGGUUGGAUGGCUGUUGCCCCUAGGUAGUAAAAGGAGGCUCCUAUUAGUACAAUUUCCCAUGGAGUUUGGUGGGUCAUGCAGAGGCGAAGUGGGUCUUGUUGCCAGGCUGGACGGCUGAUGUGUAUCAUGACCCCAGCCUGCCCCAGAGACUCUGGCGCAUGGCAAGUGACCGCAGAGAAAGGACACAGUAUCCUGGAGAUAAAGGAAGUCAGAGGGGGGCAGGAAUGGUUCUUACCCUCUCCUGCCAGGUCCUGGGGAGCCCAGAUGGGUUUGGCAGGUGGAGCCGGGUUUCCAUAGCCCAAUAUCAAUCUCAUCUCAGAAAUGGGGUGAGUGGGACUGCCUGUCCCUUUAAGAGAUGGUCUCCAAGUACAUAGCUAUUUUUACUUUACUUUACAGUGGGUGAAAUCAACACAUGCCUUCCCUUUCUGUCUUGAGGGAUUCCUAACAUCAGAAGCUGUGACCAUGGAGAAUAUUCCAUCUUAAAAUAAUUUCUGUAUAAUCAUGAGUUGAGGUGAGCUGCAGUCAACAGGCUAUACUUUAUAUAGAUAUUUUAAAUGUUGUUUCUUGUAGAUAUUUCAGUAAGCAUUUAUUGAUUCUUUAAUUUACAUUUUUAUUUUCAUAUUUUGGAGGCUCUGAAUUUAUUUUCAGGUCCCCAGUAUCUUUGUACGUCUUGGAAAUUUUUGUCCUCACUGUGUCCAAUGAACCGGAUGACCCUGCCAGCAGCAUUGCAGUGGCUGUGGUUAGAAACCCAGCAUUCUGUCAAAGUACAACGUUUAAAAGAUUAAAAACAUGACUCAAGAAUUCCCGUUGUGGCUCAGUGGGUUAAGAACCUGACCUAGUAUCCAUGAGGAUGCGGGUUCAAUCCCCGGCCUCGUUCAGUGGGUUAAGGAUGGCUUAAGUGGGUUAAGCUGUAAGGUAGGGAUGCAGCUGUGGUGUAGGUCACGGAUGUGGCUCAGGUCCUAUGUUGCUAUGGCUGUGGCAUAGACCUGCAUCUGCAGCUCCAAUUCAACCCCUAGCCUGGGAAAUUCCAUAUGCUGCAGGUGCGGCCC